rnacentral:rRNA from 1 species
GAUGAACGCUGGCGGCGUGCCUAAUACAUGCAAGUCGAGCGAACGGACGAUAAUCUUGCUUUUCUGAUGUUAGCGGCGGACGGGUGAGUAACACGUGUAUAACCUACCUAUAAGACUGGGAUCACUUCGGGAAACCGGAGCUAACACCGGAUAAUCUUCUGAACCGCAUGGUUCAAAAGUGAAAGACGGUCUUGCUGUCACUUAUAGAUGGAUCCGCGCUGCAUUGGCUAGUUGUUAAGUUAACGGCUUACCAAGGCAACGAUGCAUAGCCGACCUGAGAGAGUGAUAGGCGACACUGGAACGGAGACAGGAUCCUGACUCCUAAGGGAGGCAGCAGAAGGGAAUCGUCGGCAAAAGGCGAAAGCCUGACGGAACAAGGCCGCGUGAGUGAUAAAGGUCUUCGGAGCGUAAGACUCUGUUAUUAGGGAAGAACAUAUGUGGAAGGAAACGUGCCCAUCUUGACGGUACCUAAUCAGGAAGCCACGGCUAACUACGUG